rnacentral:rRNA from 1 species
GGUGUUAGUGGCGAACGGUCGCGUAACACGUAGGCAACCUGCCCUAAAGUGGGGGACAACAGCCCGAAAGGCUGCUAAUACCGCAUGUGAACAACGAAUCGCAUGGUUUGUUGUUUAAAGGAUUUAUCCGCUUUGGGAUGGGCUUGCGGCCUAUCAGGUAGUUGGUGGGGUAAUGGCCUACCAAGCCGACGACGGGUAGCUGGUCUCAGAGGACGAUCAGCCGGAUUGGGACUGAGAUACGGCCCAGACUCCUACGGGGGGCAGCAAUUAGGAAUCUUGCGCAAUGGGCGAAAGCCUGACGCAGCGACGCCGCGUGCGGGAUGAAGGCCUUCGGGUCGUAAACCGCUUUUAACGGGGAAGAAGAAUGUGACGGUACCCGUUGAAUAGGCCCCGGCUAAC